UCAGCCUUGCUUGGACAGCAUUCCAGCGCUGUCAUUGCUGCAGAACAAGGCUGCUUUGUUUUUAUUUGUUAUUGGUCACAUGGAGGCAGCUAAUGGCCCCAGAUCUUAGAGCUGUGGUUGUCAAACAUGCCAAAGAGCAAGUGCACAAGGCCAGAUCUCUGACGGUCUGUUUAGCUGUCUAACCAUCUCUGAAGUUGGAGUUUGCCCUCAGUGCUUGUUGCCUUGCAGUGCAGUUGAGUUUGUUUGCCUAGUUUUUCCAAGUUCUGUUGAGAACCUCUGCUUCUGUGUUUGUUGCAGAAUCCAAGCUUUACUAUGCAUUAAUGUGGAGGCCAGAAAAUGCAGGAAAAGCAGAUAAGAAUGUAGUCACAUGAUAGCAAAGCAGGAAGGUAGUGUGUGCAACUUGGUUCUUAGUUGAUCUUGACCAUCAGCCAACCAUAUGGGUUGUCUGGGGCUAUUCCAUCGUCUUUCAUGAGCAGAAGCUGAGUUUGUGUUUGAAUGGUAGAUAAAUAAUUGGAGGAGAAUAUGCACAUUUGUGUGUCCUAAUAAAUGCUAACCAGCUUCCUGAGAAAGAGGUCUUGCACCUGAACAAACACCAAGGACAGCUUUCCUUAUUCCCAAGAAAAGAUGUUUAACAAUAAAUUGAUAUUUACAAGAUGGUAAUCACUCUGAAGUGAAAACAAUUAUAUUUGUUGCCCAUUCACGGGAGGAUAUUUUUCAGCUUUGCAUGUGUUUUGCUAUAAGAUGAAAUAUAUUUUUAACAAGAAAAGUUGUCAGUUAACACUGGAUCAGUGGUAAUUUUACUAGCCCCAGAAUCAUCCAGUGUGUUUGGAAGAAUCUGCUUCAUUUUCUAUAUACACAUCUGCGUAGCAGCUGCAGGCACAUACUUCCCAGGGGCUCCGUCUAAUCUGUAGUAUUGCAGGGAUUGUGCCUGGCUAGAGAAAAGGUCUGUUAGUGUUGCUCAUGUUGAAAAUUUAGGUUUAAUGCCUUCCACAUGUUUGUUUUGAUUUGUUUUGUUUUUUUCUAGGCCUGUAAUUAACCCUUUGGAGAAAUUUCUCUUAAAACAAGCUAACUAUAGUGUUGUCUAAAUCCUGAUUAACUGUUUUCAGGAGGCCACGGGAUUGUUUUGUGUCCUCUCUGAGUUCUAACAACAACGUCAGAUGAACCGUGAAGCCAGUUAGAUUUUUUUUUCUCUCUUUCUCUCUCUUUUAAUUGCAUACAGAAAUCAAUUUCUCCAUUCCUGGAAAGCAGCCACUCUCACACAAAUAGCAGUUGACGGAGGAUGUAUGUACAAAGCAUGCAGAGAAGAAAGUAUCAGCCAAAUUAAACCUUGAAGAUACUUUUGGAUGGCAGGGUAACGUUGACCAGAUUUGAAUUUGGUCAAAAUGCCAAACACAAGGCUUUACUACAAUAUUUACCCACCUCAAGCAGCUGCCUGCACCUCCUGCUGCAGCAGGGCACAAGGCUGUAUUCUCUGACCACAGUAAAUCAGUAGUGGCGGGUCAGUUCUGUAGACAGCUCUGUGCAGAUGGAAUUCUUGCAUGUCUAUUUUAGUCCAGCUGAAAUCUACCAUAUGUUUAUACUCUGCAAGUGAAAAGCAUCAGGAAAAAAACCCAACACUUUUCCAUUUCUGAACCUUUGGACAAUAUAUCUGCUGUCUGGGGUCUGACUGACCAGGACUUCUUGCCAGACUGGAACCUCAUAGAGAAAAGUGCCACCUACUGAAUAACAACUACCACAUCCUGCCCUCUUCCUUUAUUGUCUGCUUUCUAAACACUGCAACAACUCAGCUCAUCCACUCCAACAAAACUGACAGCUUCAUGUGAGACACAUUCUGUGCUUGGAGCAGCUUUCAAGCUGAAUUUUCAAGUGGGAAAAUCAUUGCCCUUUUGUUUGAGCUGGGGGGUAUUGCUCUGUUGUCUUGUGGAAAGUGAAAUGAAGUGGUUUUAAAACUAUUUUGCUGAAGUUUUGGAUUUGUUACUGGAAAAGAAAUUGCAGCUGAGAAGAAGAGGCACAUACUUUUUGUCAGGCUAGCUCUGAAAACAUCAAUUUGUAAACCUAAGCCAUUUCUUUUCCUUUUAGAUUUGCUUCUCAUUGAUCUCUGUUGAGCUCUGUUGUCAUCUUCACAGUGCCUUGUUUCAUUUCUGCUGCUGCAGGGCCUGGGCUCACUGGAAGAGCCAGGUCUUUCAUGCCAGAUUAUGGCCACACAACACACUUUGCAUCACAGAAAUCCUAUCACAAUGGAAGGCUUAGUCUGUGGAGAAGUUUGGCACAAAGUAAAAAGAAGUGUGAUUCAGGCAGACUUCAUGAGAUGUGAAAACUGAUUGGAAAACAGACCAAAGAAAAGAUUUUAACAUUUCCCAGUGUUUUGGGUGGUAAAUGUCUUUGCAGGGAAUAAAUCCCAGUAUUUUAAUAGUUCUUCUUUUGUUUGAAAAGUUAAUAGUAUAUGUAUUCUUUACCCACAAGAUCAGAUUUAUAACAUCUGAAAGCUGCCUAUAUGGAUAGGUUAUUGAAUGGAGUAUUGUAAGGAGGCCAUUUAAAGUACGUUGUCCUUAGGUGUUAACUCUGUUGAAGGGAAAAAGGUGUUAAGGCAUAGGAUCAGCAGGUAAACAUUGUUGAACUUAGUAUUAUAUCCAGCUCUUUGGUUACCAUUCCCCAUACAGGAUCGCUUCCUGUAAUGAAUACAGCAAAAUCUGUGUGUUUUGUAGUUAAAAGGAACUUUGUAACCUUUAAAUCUACCUAACCUGACUCUUGGUCCAUAUUUUCAUAUCCCCUGCAUUACUUUUGCUUUCAUUCUUGAACCACAUGGACAUACUCAUAAAAGAUUUAACGAUUUUAUUUUAAUAUCAUUGAUCUUGUGGUAACCAUUUGAAGAGAUAACUACUCAAUCCCAGCAAUUUGUUUCUGGCAUGAUCAUAGAAACUUUUAAUGAAGGAAGGACGAAGCUAUUUUUUUUUUUUAUUUUAGCAGAAAAUUAAUUAUUUCCAGUCAGUUUUCUACUCAAUGUGCUAUAGCUAGUGAAUUGUUCAAGAGAUUAUUAAGAUGAUUUACCUUCUUUUUGUAUUGGAACAGGGUUUAUAAUUUGAUAGUCUAAGCAAUUUGAUAAUGAUUUCUAAGUACAAUCUAAGGCAAUUUCAGGAUAAGUACUGUUCAUUAACUGUAUGUGGACUACUGAUACCUGAUGUUCAUCUGAAAUCUGUUGUGUGAGAUCCAAGUGCACUUUAGCCGCAAUUACCAUACUUAUCCUGUUGAAAUAAUUGAUUAAGCCCCCAUAAUCUUCAGUGGAGCCAAGAAUUCAUCCUUGCUUGAGGCCUUUAAGCUAUCUUUCUCUCUUUAACAUCUGCCCUCUCCCUUUCUCUCAGCCUAAAUUCCCCAAUCUAUGUUUAUGGGCUUGGGCUUACUACCGCCAUCAUUAAAAUGCAGCUAUUCCUGUUCAGCAGCUUGCAGCUGUGUUACAUAAACAAAUGAACAGAACCAUAGGAGUGGGGUAUCAAAUAUCGUAGGCAGCCUAGAAACUUUGUUUUUAACGUUUAAAAUACUAUUAGACCAUAUUUUGACAUUUCAAACCACACCACUUUGUCUUUGCAUUUGCUCUUUCUUCAUUUCUGACAAAUUGGGCUAAUUCUGUAAGAAUUGCUCAAGUGCUUGAAAGCACAUAUUGGCAGGUGCAGCUAGAAGCUUGCCACAACAUAAGGAGGCACAUACAGUGGAUUCAAGACUUUCUUGCCUUCAGUUAAGGAUAGUUUUACCAUUGAUUUAGGCAACAAAAAUAUCAGGUCCGGUGAAAUAAAUGACAGAUGACUAAUCACAUUUUCCCAUUUGUUGUUUACCUUUCAUUCAUCAUCUGUUCUUUAACAGCGAGCUCAUUAUUUUAUAUUUCUUCAGCUAAUCUCUGCAAAAGAAAUAUAUUCUUAUAUGCUGUAUAAUCACCUGUUUGCUCUGGCAAGUUACAGAGUUUUGCCUUUCAGGAGUCUGCCACGAUGUUAUGCAAACAGGUCUGCUCAUUUGCAGCACCAGCUCGGUGACCUCUUUGGCCGUGUUCUCUGUUCCAGCUUUCACAUGUAUAUUUCUUACUGUGUAAUGCCCAGACUUAAGCCAACUCCAUCACUAUUUGGAGAGCUUCAAAACUAAAGGAAAAGAUUAAUGGUCAUUUAAUAACCUGUAAGCAAAAUUCUCUGCUUUGGUUGUCUUCAUUGUUUAACAUUAGUUGAUGUAUGUGCAAAAGAAAAAAGUUAACUAAUGGGAGCGAACUUGACUAAGUCAGGAGGUGUUUGGAAGUCAGAUGCAUUUUUAGCUUAGUGAAAGCCUGAAAAAAGCAGCAGCUCUGUGGGAAGCAUGUAAAAAUGUGCAUUAAAGCAAAGUGAGUCUGAAUUGGUUGGCUUCAUUGCUAGACUGUGCCAUACUACUAUUGUGGUCUGAAAACCAAACAAACAUUGGGUCACAUUCUUAGUACACGCCUGUGAGCAUAGGUCCUUGAAGUCAAUGAGGUUAUGCCAGUAUAUUUUAGCUACAAUCUGUCCCUGCAUGCAAAUAAAACCAGUGAUGAUAGGCCAUUUUUUAUGACUGCAUAGGUCAAAUUCAGGUUCCUGAAAGCUGUGCUCUCACUAAUAAGUACAACAGACUGUAUAAAGGAAUACAGGUUGCAUAUAUUAUUAAGCUAUGGAUAUUUUUUCCUACUAUCAUAUUGAUAGUAAUAUUGCUUAGCUUUUUUUUCCUGUUUUCUUUUUUCUUUUUGUUUUUUUUUUUUUUUUUCCCUGCUAACAGCAAACUAGAUAAAUUGAUGGCUUCUGGUAGGCUGGAACUGCUGCACAACUCUGCUCCUGGAAUGGACUGCCCCGAUCCCAGCGGUGAGUGUGAGUACUGUUUCUCGAACUCUCUCCAGCAAUGGGAUCUGUAAGAAUGUUAGCAAGGCAAAGUACUAUCACUCUUAGGCAUACAACAGAAAUUGAAGAAAAGGUUACUGGCUGUCUUUGUGCCAACACAGCGCAAACUACUGUAGUACUUCAAGAUGCUUUUAAGGAAGUUAUCUUUUUCUAGCUGAUUUUGAAAGCAGAAUGUUUAGGAGCUUAAGGCUCGCUGGGGCAAAUUUUUUGUUGGCCACAUUCCUAGCGUAACCCAGGAAAAACUCAACUGAAGAAAACAGGGCCAUAGUAGGAAGUACUUCAAGUUUUGUUUUUGCAAUAUCAUAUGUGCUAAUAUAAAACACAUACUUAAAUUUUACAGUAGCUUUACUUCUAUUAAGAAGUAUUAGAACAUGAAUUUUCCAUGGUUUCUUUUUUGAGUACUUUACUGUAGGGCAAUCCAUAAAGUUUCUCAAACUGCAAAAGUGCUCAGGGAAUUCUAACAAGCCCCACUGGAUGGCUAUACCAGUAUGCUGGGGAAGGAGUAAGAGCACCUGCAUUUGAGGUAAACAUUUAUGACAUCAGGAAACGUUAGUUGAAAAUUCUGUCAAGUUAUUUAAACUGCAUGGCCUCAUGAACUAAAUGUAGUUGAAGAAAUGAGAACUAAAAAGAAGAAUAUAGUGUGCUGGGGGAAAGUACUGAUAGGCAUUUGGGUUUUUUUAACACUGGAUCAAGAUAUUCCCUUUUUGUUGUCACUGAUGAGUCCAGACCUGGAAUGCUAUUGUCUCACCAGUGGGCUUCAGAAAAAUGCUUGUAAUUCAAAGGAAAUGCAGGCAAAACCAACAUGUUUUAUUUCAAAAGGAAAGUCCUCCUCUUGUAAAUGCAGUAGGAAGUCUGUAUUAAUAUUUUGGCUAAAACACAGUUAAUGCUUUCCAGGUACCUGUGCACAUAUAUAUAUAUCAGGGAGAGUGACUGUUUAUUUUUGUCUUGUUCAUAAUUAUUUCCCUUUACAUUCUCCCAGACAGAGGACAGUUUCUGCAAACUAUCAAGAAACUGAUAUUAAAGUUUCUUGCUUAGGAUGGUGUCUCCUCAUGGAUUUAGAUAUGGUCAGUCUUGUGUUCCUUGCAGUUCUUGCAGUUCCUGAGACAGUUGUUAGGCAAACGUUGCCCUCCACUGGGAGAUGGAUAGAUAACUUUAGCAAAAAGCUCUCCAGUUCUCUGCUCUGCAUGUCCUAAAGCAGUUCCUCCCUUAUGAGGAAUUUUGGGAAGCCCAGGGAUCUUGACACCCCUCUGGAGGGCAACCCUCCAGGUUGUUCCUAGGAGGUUUUGUGCUUGUUUGGUACAAAAGAGGCCGUAAGUCUGUUCUUAAAAACAAAGCAAUCUCUCAGUCGCUGCAUGCAAUUUGUUCGCAAAUCGCUAUGCCACCAGGACAAAUUUGCUGCAAUCGGCGUGCAAAGCUCCAUGGCAAAUCUCCAGACUUACUGAAAGUUUCCUUCUCAUGUAAUUCACAGCAAUUCUUGAAAUCUUCCCUACUUUUUCCUAUGUUGCUGUUUUUAUUUUGAAUGGGAAGGGGGGAAAGAGCAUAUGAGCAGUACCAGAUGUAGACACCUUUAAUGUGAAAUUAUAUUCUGCUGUUUUAAGAGCACACAGAGCUGGAUUCAUGAUAUGCGCUGGCAUCAAUACAUGGUCUGCAUUCACAAGCACUUUGUGAAAUUGAUUCCAAAGCAAACAUUGCUCUUUCAUCUGGGAGAAAAUGCCUUAGCUAACUGCCUAUGUACAGACUGCAUGUUUAGAAUAAUGAUGGCAUUGCCUUGCCUGGCAUGUUCACUUCCAAAAACUAAGAUCAGUUCCUAUGUUUCUUAAACCCAUUUUGGGAAGCAGCAGUUCUUGUGUCUUCAAGAAUUCGCGCUAGCAGGGAACUUCAUUGGCUCAUUAGAAAGACUAAUUUGGCAAAUCAGAUAAUAAUGUUUUAUCCAAGCUUUACAGUUUAAUUUAAUUCUGAGUAAUUUUCAAGACACUUGGGAUGCCAGCUGUGAGCAAGGAUGUUGUGAAUGGCAGCUCCAGAUGUGCUGGGGAGCUGGCUGCACCGCAAGCAAAGGGUUUGGGGAUGCUUCUUCCUCCAUUGUUUGUGGAACAGCAAGUGGAGUCCAGAGGCUAGUGGAUAAGUCCUUCUCCAGAGAAAGACUCUUCAGUAGCAAAGUAUGCAACUCCUUUAUGAUAGCUGGAUACAAGGGCUCUCCAAAUAGUAUGAGAACACCUUAAACAGGUGAAGGUGAUUGCUUAAUUGUUGACAUGUUGACACAAAUGCUCUCCUUUCCCUUUACAGCUCACCCUGAGUUGAGACUGGGUGUUUUGUAAUUUAAAUUGUAGGUAUUUACUGACUAUAACCGCACCGUCCUUUGAGAAGUGUACAGUGAACCCUGUUGUUUCAGACACUUACAACUAUCAGUUUCUAAACCAUUUAAAAUAACAAGAUUGAGACUUCAGUGUUUGUCAUAGACAGUGGAGUUGAAGUUAAUGAGUAUGCCUGGUUUGAGUGGUUUCCAAAUAUGCCAUUUAGCUUAUAUGCUACUGUAUUCAUCGCUUACCAUCACUUACCUAAAUUGUAACUACCUUUGUACCUGUUACAUUUACACACAUGCACACAUAUGCACACACUGAGUCAUUCUCUGUUGUGUAAGCCAAGAGCUUGUGUGUUUCUAUCUGUUCCAAACUCUUACGAGUCUAAAGCACUUGUUAGUUAAAAGAUACUUAGAAAUUCUUGAUUCUUAGACUCUUUCUCUCUCCCCCUGUUUUCUUGGAGGGAUAUUUCUACAUUACAUGCCAUGUUGGCCCAGGAGUGCUCCAGUGACAUAAAUGAUGUGGAAAGUCUGUUUCAAAGUAACUCUAUUACAGCUUAGUUAAUAUUGGAGUUUUAGUUAACAGGCAAGAUAACAAAAGAAUGGUGGUCACGCAGAGCAAAAGAAAUAAUGGUUUUAUUUAGUUUAAUUUUUUUCUUGAGGAAAAAGUUUCAAAACCAGAGCUGGCAGAUUAAGAGCAGGAGGUGCAAAGCCUGAGCUUGCAAAACUGGUGGUGUCCUUUAAGGGUACACAUAUCCUCUCCAGAAGACUAUGCUGUGAAUACUUGUUUCCCUCUUGGGAUGAUGGGAGGAGGAAGACACACUCCACCUCAGCUUUUCAAGGUAUAGGAACACAUGAUGCAGCAUGGAAAAACCUCAGCUGGACACCUCUGGCAUUGCAGUUCAAGAGGAUGUGGCCCAGUUGGAAAGAGCCCGAAGAGGAGCAUUGAGCAUAAUUAGAGGUCUUGAAUAUGACCAAGGAGGACCAUUUCCAGAUCUCUCCACUGGCUAUGGGUAACCCAGAUAUCUGAGUGAACAAUAAACUGACCCAGCUAGCAGACAGCACCAUGGGAAGCAGAGGUUUGGCAAAGACUGGCUGAUGUAGCAUGAAAACAACAUAACAUAUUUUAAAUGAAUAAGGUAAAAAACAUUGUAAA